AAGACGCUGGGAGUGACUGACGGAAAUGGGAACUGUGAGGCAUGUACUACCUGGGAAUGAUGCCAACUGCUGACAAAAGGCUUGACUGCACGGCUCCUAUUAGCAGACUUUAACUCGUGUACAAUGAAAUGUUUCAGGAUAAUCUGGCGCGCCAUUGUUUGGCCAACUGUUGAAAUAGCUGUCACACCAAUGCCAACACAGCAUCCCGAUCUUGACAUAAAAACUCAGUUCAGCCAACAGGUUUCCACGACCGCACUGCUGUCACCACUAUCUGUCCUUAAGGCUGAGGUAGUAGAUUGAAUAGUUGUGGGGUUUAAGUCCUCCUUUUGAGAUAACUAUACAAUCUACUGUCUUUCCCGAGGAAACAGGCUAAUCUGCUGUGAUGCUGAAGCCUUCAAGCACAAAGGGAGCCACGCACCUUCAGACCAGAGAUGAUCGACCUGUGGAGACACAACAAGGACGCAUCUGUUCUACUUGCUCAAUUUUGAAGUUAAAAGAUGAAGACCACUGUAUCUUCUUUUUCUCUCGAAGGAUCUGUGCAUGAGAUUGAGCCUAGCAAGGUGAGGUAGUAGGUUGUAUAGUUUGUGGGAUGGAGUGAAUCCUACUCAGGUGUUAACUAUACAGUCUAUUACCUUUCUUGAGAGGUACAAUGAGUGCUUGGAUGAUUCUCGCUGAUGAAGAAGCCACACUGACGCCACCUUGUGGUUGAAGAAUGAAAUUAGUUUUGGGAUUAUCCAGAUUUUGAGACCUCUGUACUAUAGUUUUUUUGAUGCAGAUUUUUUUUUUUUUUUAACGAAGAGCAAACACAUUUUUGCACUGUAUGGUUAAAAAAAUAGUUUAUAAAUGAAUGCUAAAUUACUUUUUUGGUAUAAUAAAUUUGUAAAUACCAUCUUUUAACUUCCCCUGUUCCCAAAAAUAGCUUCAAUUUCUGCCUAAAGACACAUGAGGGAACUUGAACUAAUUCAAUUUGUGAGUUGAGUAAAGCAGACCAUCGUUUAGACUUGCAGAAAGUUAGCUGUGGAUGGAAAGAACUGGUUUUGAGACACUUCAGUAGAAUAUGGUGGUUUGUAUUCUUGCAAAAACUGCAUCCAUCAGUGCUGGGUGUAAUUUUAGAGGAACACAUAGUGCCUACAAAUAAGGAACACAGAAUCGUAAACUGACCUAAAAAAGAGAAGAGAAAAAUCAAAUCAGUGGUGAAAUGGCACAGUCCAUCAAAGUCAACCAAAUUAUAUCUAAUCCAAUACCUGGCUGGAUUUCCUCCAGCUACACUCCAGCAUCCUCUCGCUAUUUUAAAUGCAUGUUUUUUAGUCAGAUUGAUGACUUCAUGUUGGCAGCAGUGAAACAGACAGAGAAUGUUCUGUUCAACUAUCAACAGUAGAUGUAACAGAAAGAAUGCCAGUUUUUAUUCACAUCAUUGUGGUCUUUAAUAGCAAAUUAAAGAAAGCAUCUUUGAAACAAACAUGACAGUAUGAGAGAGGUUUGUGUAGAAUGGCUUUAAGUUACAUCAAAGACAAAUGCAACAUAUCCCGAGUGUGUCUCACAGUGAUCAGUAAAUGUAAAUAAAUAUGUAACUUAAAAGGUUUUCUCUUGAGUUCCUUGUAACUAAGCCCUUACUUUGUGUCGCUGUAAUAAUAAAUCUCACAA